rnacentral:rRNA from 1 species
AUACGGAGGGUGCAAGCGUUAUGCGGAAUCAUUGGGUUUAAAGGGUCCGCAGGCGGAUUAAUAAGUCAGUGGUGAAAUCCUCUCGCUCAACGAGAGAACUGCCAUUGAAACUGUUAGUCUUGAAUUCGGUCGAAGUAGGCGGAAUGUGUCAUGUAGCGGUGAAAUGCAUAGAUAUGACACAGAACACCGAUAGCGAAGGCAGCUUACUAGACCUGGAUUGACGCUCAUGGACGAAAGCGUGGGGAGCGAACAGGAUUAGAAACCCUAGUAGUCC